rnacentral:sRNA from 1 species
UUAAAUAAAAUAAAAAUAAGUGUUAAAAAGUUAAAUUAAGUAUAAACCAUAUUGAACCGAUGACGCCUCUUAGGGGUUUGGACGUUGUGUCCAAUUAGUUUACAUAAAAUUUAAAAAUUUAACACAUAUAAGAAAUU